rnacentral:rRNA from 1 species
UACGGAGGGGGCUAGCGUUAUCCGGAUUCACUGGGUUUAAAGGGUGCGUAGGUGGGUUGGUAAGUCAGUGGUGAAAUCUCCGAGCUUAACUUGGAAACUGCCAUUGAUACUAUCAGUCUUGAAUAUUGUGGAGGUCAGCGGAAUAUGUCAUGUAGCGGUGAAAUGCUUAGAUAUGACAUAGAACACCAAUUGCGAAGGCAGCUGGCUACACAUAUAUUGACACUGAGGCACGAAAGCGUGGGGAUCAAACAGG